GGAGUCUAGCAUAUACGCAAGUCAUUGGGACUUAAACAAAACCUAAAGGCAAAAUGAAAGUAAACGUAUACCUUAUGUGUAUACUUAGGGAAGAUGAAUUAUCCAAAGUGGUAGUUUCGCAUUCCCGGGGCGUCUCUUUCUCUCAAUUUCACUUGUUGUUAUUGUUGAGAUGAGGCGCACCUAGAGCGUAUACGCUGGGACCCGAAAGAUGGUGAACUAUGCCUGGUCAGGACGAAGUCAGGGGAAACCCUGAUGGAGGUCCGUAGCGAUUCUGACGUGCAAAUCGAUCGUAAGAACUGGGUAUAGGGGCGAAAGACUAAUCGAACCAUCUAGUAGCUGGUUCCCUCCGAAGUUUCCCUCAGGAUAGCUGGCGCUCAUUAUAUUUUAUAGAGCUGCAAUUUUAUAUUAAGAGUCUCGUCCGGUAAAGCGAAUGAUUAGAGGCAUUGGGGUCGAAACGGCCUCAACCUAUUCUCAAACUUUAAAUGGGCGAGAUCUCCGGCUUGCUUAAACAAUGAAGCCGCGAGAUCGGAUCAGAGUGCCAAGUGGGCCAUUUUUGGUAAGCAGAACUGGCGCUGUGGGAUGAACCAAACGUAAAGUUAAAGCGCCCAAAUUAACGCUUAUGGGAUACCAUAAAAGGCGUUAGUAACUUAAGACAGCAGGACGGUGGCCAUGGAAGUC
rnacentral:rRNA from 1 species